UGGCAUCAAUGACUGAAACUUUACGCGGUGAUGCUAUAAGUAGGAAUUUAUUCCAAAACUAAUCAGUU
rnacentral:ribozyme from 1 species